rnacentral:lncRNA from 1 species
CAUCUGUGGAUGAGACAAGCACAGUGCCAGGCACUUGGAAAUGUUUGAUACCCAAAAUGACAGAGUCCAUUUGCCAACUCACAGCUAGAGGCAAAGAAAUCAUUACCCACUCGGAAAAGGGGCCCAUAGUUGCAUCUGGUGAUUAUUCUCUAUUUCAUACGAUGCUUUCCCUGAGGCCUCAGUCUUCUACUGAAAAUAUUUUAAUUGUAAUUAUAAAGUCAUGACCAUCCACAUGUAUAGCUGGUUUGCUUCAAUUAGAAGUCACUGCAACCAAAAAACAA